rnacentral:misc_RNA from 1 species
GAGAGAGAGAGAGAGAGAGGAUUGCUAAUAUCAUAUUAUUAUUGUUGUUAGGGUAAGCUUUGGCAUGUGUUUGUGGUUGUGGUUAAUAAUUGUGAGGGUAGGCUUUGGUGCAACAGUGAGAGCGACUUUGAGGUCACAAUUUCAAACCACUGAAAUAAGCUCCUUGCAAAUGCAAGGGGAAGGUUGCAUGCCUCUGACCCUCCCUACUCCUGGCUUGUAAUGCCAUUGGCCUUGGGCACUGAGCCCUAGUGUCAGUAUAGUUGUGUUUCUGUUAAUAAGUUGUUUCACUUUGUAGGUGAUGGGACAAGAA